GAGUCCACCAGUAAAUGGGUGUUGCAUGGUGUGGAGUAUGCUGCUUAGCCCGCUUUCAGAAGCUCAAGGGUGACCUGGGAGUGCUUUGACUACUCCUAGCAGUAAAACGAAUGCAUUUGCACUUCCAGCUGCAUUUCUUCGGCUUCUUGUACAGUCUUGAGCCUGGGUCAACACAUGCGACGUCCCCAGGUUCCUCUGCAUUUGCUGACCAAUGGUCACUUCCGUUGCUGCCAUCUAAGAGCUCAGAGGGAGAUCCACUCUCAAGUCCAGGGCCAGAAGCAGGUGUGAGGUACUGCACCCGGCCUGACUGGUGUCUUUAUAAGAAGAGGAUAUGAGGACAGAGACACACAGAGGAGAGAGGCGUGGGGAGAGACCAACCCUGCUGUCACCUUGAUCCUGGACUUCCAGCCUCCAGAACUAAUUCAUGUGAAGAUGAGCUGAACCUGCUCCCUGGCCUUCCCUAGUUUCCGUGGCUUUGACAGAAGGUGGAAAGGGCCAACAUGGAAGAGACGCAUGAACAAACUGCACGUUUUCAGCAAACAUUUCCAAGGGUUAUCUUAGCUGGAUGCGACUGUACUUUGGAAGAGUAUUUUAGGACUCCAUGUCUUUAUGACCCUAGCUUCUGCUUAAAGUUGAAGAACUGAGUCCCGUUAUCAGCUUCAUCUCUGUUUAGCUCCCAAAGUAAGGGAAUUGUUUUGCAAAAGUAAAAUGAGUUUUAUCAGCAAGCUUUGUAGAAACUUUACCCAAAAAGGAAAACCAGAUUCCCACUCAUGCUCUUUUGUUAAGAGAUGGCACAAACUCUGGGAGUUUGACCUCAAAGAUGUAUCACUGAGCAAAACAAAAUAGGUCUGUUAUUUGUGGAACUCAUGGUUCUCAUGUAGUUCUGUAUCAGGUGAAAAUGGUUCAGUCAUUGUUACUUCUUUUUAACGAAUUUCUUUUUCUGAUUAUAAAAAUCAAUAUAUGCUCUUCGUGAAACACUGAAAAAUACAGAUGUAAAACAUAAGUGAACAAUAAACAUUCUGCAUUCCACCACAUGGAAAAAAA